UCCUGGGCCUGGCUUGGAGGAAAGAGGAGCUAGCAGACUGCUCCACCACUGGGGGUGGUGCCGAGUGAAAGGCAUGGACUGAUGCCAGCCCAAGUGCUCUGAUGCAUCACCCUCGAUUCUGACAGCGCAGUUCUGGGUGUUCAACUGGCUCAGAACUUUGCAUUCCCAGAGACUUCGGCGUUGGCAGCUCCUCCUCCCCGUGUUGCUCGGGAACACGUCACCCAAACCAGUGCUGACGCCUGAUCUCCAAUGCCAAGGCGAAGUGAGAGCUGAGCCAGGGCCUGUGUCUGGACCAUCUCUGACAAGACAAUGCCAGGAUGAAGACUUUAUCGCUGUCCCCUUGGCUUUGAUGGUGAAGGCUGUGCUGAAGAGGGAUUGUGCGGUCAGAGGAUGAGAAUGAAAGAGCCAAGAAGCUCCCCUCCUGAUCAUAAUUUGUCAUGGAUGGGAUUUGUAGACUCAGUCUCAGGAGUGUAGUCAGGGCACCCCUUCUGUGGGCUUGUUUUCUCACUGGUAAAAUGAC